UACGUAGGGUGCGAGCGUUGUCCGGAAUUAUUGGGCGUAAAGAGCUCGUAGGCGGUGUGUCGCGUCGGCCGUGAAAACCUGGGGCUCAACUCUGGGCGUGCGGUCGAUACGGGCAUCACUGGAGUUCGGCAGGGGAGACUGGAAUUCCUGGUGUAGCGGUGGAAUGCGCAGAUAUCAGGAGGAACACCGGUGGCGAAGGCGGGUCUCUGGACAUUUCCGUGACGCUGAGGCACGAAAGCCAGGGGAGCAAACGGG
rnacentral:rRNA from 1 species